GGGGAAGGGAGGAGCCGCCCCUGGUUCCACGGCCACUGCUUCCCAGGGUCCCCAUCCCGCUGUCACAGCCCCUGUCCUCGUGCCCUCCCAGAGGCAUCUCCACCCACCGAAGCCACCCUGCUGGCCCACUGAGUACCAGCGCCAUCAGGGAGGAACCCACUGUCCGCAGCUCAUGGAAGUGCGGGCGUGCACGUUGCGUGCGGGCAGCUUCUCUGGGGCAUGCAGCAAGGGCUGUGGGGCGUGGGCUGGCCCGGGGCUGCAGGGCAUCCUGCAGGGCCCACCGGCCGCCUCCUGGCUGCUGCCCUUGUGUUCAGGGAGGCAAUGGUGGGGAUCCACGGCCUUCUGUCCCCUCCCUGCCCAUGCCGCUGAGCACCUUCUGUGCUGGUCUGGGCUGUGGGUUUCCACGCCCGCCUUCUCCCACAGUCAGGACGACGACCCAUGUGCCGGUGCCACGAGGGUGGGGUGUCCGGUGGUGGAGGCUGGGCAUCCCCGCAGACCCUGCCCUGGGUCAGGGCCGUCUCGCCGCGAUCGACUCCCAACGCUGCAGUGGGACAGCUGGUGUGUAUUUGUGCGUGAGUGUGUUAGGAGUGCAGGGAUUUGAACCUCAGUGUAAGAACAUGUAAGAGGGAAUGUCAGGGUCAUCUUUGCGUGGAAAUCCUGAGAGCUCACGUGUCAGCUUCACAGCCCUCCUGGGCUUCGGUCAGCGGACUGUUUCUUCAGGUUUUCAGGAAGAGCUAUAUCCUGCCGGGGCCAUGGCUUCCCUCAUCUGUGAUUUAUGACAGUACAUGUUCCAACACGUUACUGACAAAUUAUUUAUGAAGCAAAGUUUUGUAUAUAAAACCUUAUUCCCCCAUGGAAUUAUUUAUUACACUUGAGCUGUGCGCUGAGGAGACAAUCUCAGGGGAAGUGACAGGAAAUCUUGAGCCAAGCCAGCAGCAAAAAUGGGAGGGCAGCUCCGGGCAGCGCCCUUGCUUCAGAGCCCGCGGUAUUGAGAAUCCACUUUGGUGAGUUUUGGGACCUCUGGGGGCUGCCCUGAUGUGUGCCUGGAAGCCCACAGAUGGAAGAAAGGCGUUUGCCUGGUAGACAUGUAGGCAUUCCAAAUCUCUUGGGCACAUUAUAGUCUCCUACACAUGUGUGCACAUGCAUGUGCAUUCACACACAAAGACAUAACCCCAUGCAGACAGACACAAAUGCACAUGCAUGCAACACAUGCACACACAUGCAGAAAACACACAUACAUGCAUGCCCAUGCACAUACAAAUGCACAAACCUGCAGAUACAAAGACCCUCAUGCAGUCCAUAUUCAUGCAGAUCGCAUGAACACACAAAUGCACAUGUAUGUUACACACAAAUGCACACAUGCUUACAUGCACUCACACAGAUAACAUGCAACAAACAGGUGUGUACAGAGAUGCACACAUAUAUGCCCCUGCACACACAAGACAAUAUAUGCACAACAAGCACACAUGCACAGGCAUAGACACAUGAAGACACAAGUGCGCACAUGUACAGCCACACAUAUGCUCACACAAUGUACAUGUAUAUAACAGACACGUGCAUGCACAAACACAUGUACACAUGCAAAUGCAUGCACACACAUGCUGCUCUUUGGUGGAGGUUGAAGGAGUGCAUCGCCCUCAUCCCAGCUUGGGAGGAGGUGGGAUCAGCAGGAAGGGGGUUGCCACUCCUCUUGGGACUCUUGGGGGGGUCCUCCUCACAGACUUUCCAAGCCAUGAAGCAUUUCUCAUUAUGCAGUUUCUGAGGUGAGAGAAAUAUUCUGCUCUGACUUCCCACGGGGGUAUCUCUGCUCUUGGUGAAGACAGCCUGAUGCCGACAUUCUCAAAGCCAACGUAGGUUCUUCCUCUUGCCUCCUAUGGGGUGUCCUGGGCUUCGUACUGCUUCCUGCAGCAUGUGGUGGGGGCGAUGGAAGGCACGGGGUCACAGACUGCUCACCCUCCCUGCGUUCCCCGCAUCUGCUUCUCAGGGUGUCAGCCAUCUACCGUCCUGGUGCACUGUGGGCCAUCGUCUACUUCCCUGAGUUCCCCUGGAAGUUCUGUGUCCACCAAGCUGAAGCCCGUGAUUGUAGAAGUGCUCUGCCUUGGAAGGAGCAGGCACAGAGGGGGCCUUCCAGAGCGCAGUGUGCGCAGAGCUGCUUCCCGGAGACCUUCCCGGGUACCCCACUCCUGCCGCGUCCUGCUUACCGUGUUGGAAUUAUUGCGUGCCCUUUACUACAUCCCAUGCCAUCUCCUUCCCGACUGCAAAGGCCAGCGGGGUGCUCCAUGUGGGGCUGCCGGCGCCUGAUCGUGGGAGAACCCUUGUGGUGGGGGCUUCUGGUUCACACGGCACGUGAAACCACAUCUCAGAGCAUUUCCCCAAAGUUUCACAAGAUGCAGGAUGGGCAGGCUGGAACAGACAAGUACAUAGGAACAAGGAAAACCGGUCCUAGGAAGGAUAGACCCACAGUCCACUUGGGCCACUCCUUAUCCUCCUAACAGGAUGCAGGACCGUCUUCUGUGUGUGGCCACCAGGAAGUCCCCAUGGGGCGCAGAGCAGAAGCCCAAUGGACAGCAGAUCCAUUUCCACCAUGCAGGAAGUUUCAUCAGGGUGUGGACCAUGGGAAGCAGAUAAGGUCUUCUGUGAGAACCAGGGCAGGGAGGAGGCCUCCCUAGACCAGGGCACCCAAAGGCAGCUUCCCCUCUGGGGUCUCUACCAGGCCGCAUGUGGGAGGCUGACAGGGACCCGGGGCUGAGGUCAGGGGCACCGUGAGGAAGCCAUCCCUGGAGGCAGGGACUGAGGUCCUCGGUGGAGUUUUGGGAACGGGCCCCCAGCAGAGAGUGGCUGAGACAUGGAGCAUGGAUGCUCAGCAGAGUCACAGGGGAAUUCUGAGUGAGAAGGGCCUCGAGGACGGUCCUCAUGGACAGCUGGUGCCUGACCUGGGGCCCCUGCCCUGCCUGCGGAGUAAAAGCUUUCUCAUGAACGGCUCCAGGUAGAAAGGAAUGAGGUGGCUGUGAUAAAAUAUUUGUCCUGGCAACUUCUGGGCUUUGGCUAAAGCAGGGCUCAGAGGAAGGGCCACGGCCUUUAUUGCCGACACUGCUUUCUGGGCAGGGAUUUUCUCAGCACAGUCAGGGACUACCGGUGGAGGAAGAGUCAUUGCUGCCCCAGCAGGAAGUUGCGGAUGAUGCCCGCUGACCAGGCCAGGCCUGGCGAGGUCAGCGAAGACCCACUAAGGCCCCGGUGUUCUGUGGCCCAGCGAGGUCAGCGAAGACCCCACACAUGCUCCCGUGGUCCAUAGCCCUAAGCAUAUCAGCUCUUCUUCAAGCUUCUCAUCCUUAUUCCUGUUACCUAAUGACCCUGAAUGUCUGUGCUGUUCUGGCAUCACAUUUGUGACAAACGAGGGAAGUGCAGAGACAAAGCACAUCUGUCCCCUGAAACUACUGUCCUUUUCAGCAGCCAGGUCGGGUCACCGCUGACACCCAGGUGGGCGUCCAGCCGUGAUGGGGAGAUAAGGGCUGAGACAGCGAUGGUACAGGUUAGCCGUCAAGAGUUGUCUCCACAUUACCUGAGACACGCAAGUUAGUAGUGUGUGGGUGACGUGUACGAGUCAAGAACUUGGAAAAAGAAUGAGAUGCACUUGAGGAAAGCAUAAAAGGGCUCCUGGGUGGCUCAGUCAGUUGAGUGUCUGACUCUUGAUUUCGUUGGGCUCAGGUCAUCUCAAAUGAUCUCAGGGUUGUGGGAUCGAGUCCCUGCAUCAGGCUUUGCACUGAGUGUGGAGCCUGCUUGGGAUCCCCUUUCCUUCCACCGCUCACUCCCCACUCAUCUCCCUUGCUCUCUCUCUCUUUCUCUAAAAAAAUGAAAUAAUUAACAGAAAUUAAUGGAUGAGUUAGUUAUAGAGACUCAGUAGAAUUAAUGAAUAAUGAUAAAAGCCAGUCCUUUAGGAUUCUUUAGGAGGAAAAAA
rnacentral:lncRNA from 1 species